GACGAACGCUGGCGGCGUGCCUAAUACAUGCAAGUAGAACGCUGAAGAAAGGAGCUUGCUCUUCUUGGAUGAGUUGCGAACGGGUGAGUAACGCGUAGGUAACCUGCCUUGUAGCGGGGGAUAACUAUUGGAAACGAUAGCUAAUACCGCAUAACAAUGGAUGACACAUGUCAUUUAUUUGAAAGGGGCAAUUGCUCCACUACAAGAUGGACCUGCGUUGUAUUAGCUAGUAGGUGAGGUAAUGGCUCACCUAGGCGACGAUACAUAGCCGACCUGAGAGGGUGAUCGGCCACACUGGGACUGAGACACGGCCCAGACUCCUACGGGAGGCAGCAGUAGGGAAUCUUCGGCAAUGGGGGCAACCCUGACCGAGCAACGCCGCGUGAGUGAAGAAGGUUUUCGGAUCGUAAAGCUCUGUUGUAAGUCAAGAACGGGUGUGAGAGUGGAAAGUUCACACUGUGACGGUAGCUUACCAGAAAGGGACGGCUAACUACGUG
rnacentral:rRNA from 1 species